rnacentral:miRNA from 1 species
GGUUUCUCUGUGUAGCCAUGGCUGUCCUGGAACUCACUCUGUAGACCAGGCUGGCCUCAAACUCAGAGAUCCACCUGCCUCUGCCCCCCAAUGCUGGGACUAAAGGUAUGCGCCACCACUGCCUG